AAAUGAGAGCAUUCUCGUGUGUCUGUGAGCAUGCAUGGCUAAACGGCACUAUAAUAUGUCUCAGAUGCGCAGAUCAAAACAUGCAAUGCAGCGUAAAACAUGACCAGUAUUUGUAUUGACUCUCUUUGAUUCCUUUCGACUUGCAAUGACGUCAUCACGCAGUGCGUCCUAUGUCAUGAAAGCUGACAGCCUCCCCUCUCCAUAGACACAUCGAUCAAGCUUCUAGACCAUUCAGAGCCCGAGUUGUUCCUUUCCAAAGUUGAGGAGGUGGGACUAAAGAAAACGCCGCAAACGGGCGCAGAUGAUUAUUGAUGAGUUGAUCGGAAGUUGGUUUGUGAUUUUGGAUAGCGUUUUAGCGAAUUAUUGCGUGCUUUUAUUACUGUUAGAGUUAUAUGUCUCUGAAAAAUGACUUCAAGAAAGUUUUUUGUUGAUGUGGAGGCGGCUUUGGAGGAGUUUGAUCGGAUGUACGACACUGAAACUUGCAGCGAGGCUAGCUAGCUUUGACUCGGUCAGAGAAGCUGCUUACAAACUGGGAGAAGACCCUGAUUUUGAUUGUAGCAUCCAGUGGUGAAGAAUGGGAGCCAGCAAGUCAGGAUACUUAUCUUGUGUGUGUGUGUGUGUGUGUGUGUAAAAUAAAAUGCAAGAACAGAA